rnacentral:lncRNA from 1 species
CUUUCUCAGUUUAAAACUGCCCCCCACCAAUCUUAUCACUAUUCUCCUGUUUAUGUGCUCCCUUCGAGUCCUGGGGAGCCCUCAGCACUUUGAGGUCCUUCUGAUGCAUCAUUUUGCUCUCUCUGCUGCUGUUACCUCACUCCAGCCCUCAGCUAGAAGAAUUCCUGAGAGAAGCAGCUCAGCUCUCGAGCACCCCUGGAGUCAUCACCAGUGUUAAAACUGCAAAGUAACUGAAUGCAUCCCUGCCAUGUGAGUGCUGGUGCCUUAAGAAGAGUCGCCUGAUACACUGGGGAGAUCUGUUCAUCAAAGCAUGGCACGUGAUGAAAUAAUGUGAUUUCCUAAAACGUGGGAAUUAGCAAGUCAAGCCCAGAGAAUUAAAACUGCCCGGAGGCUCAGCUGCCCUGAAAGAAUCCAGUAAAACUCCAUCUCAAGCUAGCAAGAAGCGGAACACGGCAUCUAUUUUUGUUAUGACAUCCUUGAGACCCAAACAUUUGCAAGACUGCUCGAUGUUUUAAGGACCUGUAAGGAGGCUGAGGAAUAAGACGUCUGACACAGAGAACUGUGGCUGAAACCUUCCUAAGACUGCUGCCAUUGUGCAAACCAAGUGCACACCAGUAGGAGAGCAGUGCCACAACCGAGCAAUGGCACAAAGCAUCACAGGAGGGGGAGAGAUGGGUUCAGCACUGCGGAGAGCUCCCUCAUCCCACCGCCACGUGUGCGCCAUGGAGUGAGUUUGUUCAGCGUAAAUCCUCUUCUUUAGACUCAUUAAAGUGCGCCAAGC